GUCAGUGGGAGGGGACAGAAUCAAAGGUCAUGGGUAGGGAAUCCAAGAUCCAUCUCUUAGUUGGGGACAAAUUUCCCCUCCCAAUUUCAUGCAGAAAUUGACAAGGGAGGAGUUCAGAGGGAGGAGGGUGCUGUGUUACAAAGCAGAGGAGCAUUCAUGGGACAGAUAUACCUCCAUUAACACAGAAUUUAUGUUCUGGGGCACUGCUUUUCUACAGAAAAUUGGUAUUGGAGGCAGAACAACCAUGGGAAUAAUAGGGACGAGACUGUACAAUAGAAAAAUAGAAUAGAACCAUAGAAUUGGAAGAGUCCACAAGGGUCAUCUAGUCUAACCUCUUGCUUAACACCCUCCAAAGAUGGAGACUCCUCCAUGCUCCCAGGCAGCUUUUUCUACUGCAGAACGACUCUUAUGGUCAAGACCUUCCUCCUAAUGUUGAAGCGGAAUUUCUUUUCCUACAGUUUAAAUCAAUUGCUCUGUGUCCUAGUCUUUGGAGCAUCAGAGAACAAGCUUGCCCUCUCUUCAAUGGACAUCCUUUCAAACACUUAAACAGGGCUCUCCUGUCUAUUUCUGACUUAUUUUCUUCAAGUGAAACAUACCUAUUACUUAACAAAUAUGCGUAUGAGAAAUGUAACAAGGAUAGAGAAGCCUUACUGAAGUUAAGAAAAACACUCCAAACCUUCGGGAGAUCAUUUCCUUCUUCCAAACUGGACCCAGAAAAUAUGUUUUUCUUUUACUUGUUUUCUUUUUUCUUACAAUCCCCUUGGGGUUUUUUUCCCUUAAGGUGUGCCUUGGAAGAGAAGAGAGGAAGAGUGACAUCCCUCUCAGCACUUGAGGGUUUCUCCACUGAUCUUCGCUGCCUUGCCACCUCUUCAGCUGAUAAGAAUAGUUUUCAUGGGAAAGAGAUGGGUUGGUGAUUUCCUUUUAAUUCUUUUGUUCAUUUCCAUUUUACCUUCAGCCUCCAACUUGCGACACAUCAUCGAGUAUGUCGUAGUGGCUCUCCUUGCGAUAGCUUACAUUGCUGGGCUUGCUGUUUAUGUCAAAAAACAUCAAGGUGAUUACAAAGCAACUUCAGGGAUUUCUUCCCAGCCCAGCGCUGUGCUGAAAACGAAACUAACUUUGGGAGGCCGCCGAGGUUUACAGAAUUCAAACAAAAAAGUAUUGGAAAAACAUCAAGAUGACCACAAAACAGUCUCAGGUGAGUGUUGCUUUCCCGUUGCAUCUUUACUCCAAAUGACUGAGGGAGGAAUGGGAAUGAGAUGGUUGAACUGAGACAUGUACAUACAUCUAUAUGUCCAAGAGUUUAGGCCAAGGACAGGCUUUUUUUGAAACAGAGCAAAAUCAUCCAGGAAGGCUCUAAGACUUGUGGAAAAUACCCUCUCCUCAUCUCUAGAGGGGCAGUGGAGAGAUACAGUCCUCCAGGGUCUCCUGGGGUUCCUAUGCAGCCCCCUGGCCUUCCAUGUUUGCCUAUCUCUGAUUGAAGGGCUCUCACUUGGUCAUAGUAUUUCUGGGCAAUUGAGUUCCACUAGUGUAUUUCAGAGCCAGUGAGGAGUAGUGAUGUGAACAUUAGAUUAGGACUAUGAAAACCAGGGUUUGGAAUUGAAAGCAUAUGACCAGUUUUUAUGAAAUAUAAUCACAAAGUGGUCUGAAACAUGUACUCAUACAUUAUCUGUGUACAAGAGAAUUUAAUUCUGGAAGGAGUAUGCCUUGGCAGAUUGGUCCCAGCAGACAUAUUCUUUUAGAGCUAUUGCUAAGGAUAAUUUUAAUUAAAUUUCAACUCUGAGAAGCAUAGUAUUUCAGAGCUUCCUCGAUUGCAUGGUGUAAAUGAAUAAAAGAAAUAACUGGAUAAAUAAAAUAUGGUUUCUUCUAAGUGAAGAAAAUUAAUUCAAGCAAGUACACUUGCUUUUUGGAGCAGAACCUGAGAUCUGAGUCAUACCUACGGG
ensembl:lncRNA